CCUACGGGUGGCAGCAGUGAGGAAUAUUGGUCAAUGGGCGCAAGCCUGAACCAGCCAAGUAGCGUGAAGGAUGACUGCCCUACGGGUUGUAAACUUCUUUUAUAAGGGAAUAAAGUUAUGCACGUGUGCCUUUUUGUAUGUACUUUAUGAAUAAGCAUCGGCUAACUCCGUGCCAGCAGCCGCGGUAAUACGGAGGAUACGAGCGUUAUCCGGAUUUAUUGGGUUUAAAGGGAGCGUAGAUGGGUUUUUAAGUCAGUUGUGAAAGUUUGCGGCUCAACCUGAAAAUUGCAAUUGAUACUGGAAGACUUGAGUGCAGUUGAGGUAGGCGGAAUUCGUGGUGUAGCGGUGAAAUGCUUAGAUAUCACGAAGAACUCCGAUUGCGAAGGCAGCUUACUAAACUGUAACUGACACUGAUGCUCGAAAGCGUGGGGAUCAAACAGGAUUAGAUACCCCAGUAGUC
rnacentral:rRNA from 1 species